rnacentral:lncRNA from 1 species
UCAGACUUGACUUCACUGAAUUUUACAGCCAUUUGAGACCUAGCACAGGAAGGAAGCUGUAACUGUAGCAUCUGAAUGACACGUGUUAGACAUGUCAAAGGCCAUACAGCAUGUUUCUGUUUGUCGAAGGCUGUGUUGCAUGUGAUAUAUACUGUGUCUUUGGCCAUAUAGGGUAAAGUUUAACACCUCUGGCAGAUUCUGGUUGAAGAACUUUCGUUCUUGUUUACCCUUAAAUGAAGGCAUGCUGUUGCCUAGUUGUGCUAUUGAUUAGUUUACAUGUUGUAUUUGGUUACUCUCUAUUAGUGGGUUAGUUUUUUGUGUAGCUUUCACAAGCUGUCUAUCUUGAGCUUGUAGAUCUGCAACAUAGUUCUGUAGUGGUGAAGUACUGACUGAUGAUUACUUUGUUUCCUUCUUGUUUCUGGCAUAUUCUUGUAUUGGCUUGCUUAUAAAGAGAUGAGUGAUGGUUGUUUCAAUAUAUAAUGUUUAUCUGUUUUAGCUUUCACAACCUCAAAAGUAUGUCGUUUCUUG